rnacentral:rRNA from 1 species
UACGUAGGGUGCGAGCGUUGUCCGGAAUUAUUGGGCGUAAAGAGCUCGUAGGCGGUCUGUCGCGUCGGAUGUGAAAGCCCGGGGCUUAACUCCGGGUCUGCAUUCGAUACGGGCAGACUAGAGUGUGGUAGGGGAGAUCGGAAUUCCUGGUGUAGCGGUGAAAUGCGCAGAUAUCAGGAGGAACACCGGUGGCGAAGGCGGCUCACUGGUCCGGUACUGACGCUGAUGUGCGAAAGCGUGGGGAGCAAACAGG